rnacentral:pre_miRNA from 8 species
AAUCGGUUAUUGAAGAACCGAUUUUGUAUACUGCAUACAAAAUCGGUUCUAAAAUAACCGAUUU